rnacentral:lncRNA from 1 species
GAAGCAAAAGAAAAAAAAAUUGUAAUUGAAGUUUUAACACUUUCAAUAAGUUAACAAAAUAGGCACCUUCUUUCCUCCCUCCUUCCCCACUUCCUUCCCUUUCUCCCUUUUCUUUCUUUUUAAAGCAGUUCCUUCUAAAAACAGUCAUCAGAAGCCAGGUUUCCCAGGUUAGCUUUUGAGCACUUUUCUCUUGCCAUUUGCAGAUAGCAGCUUUACUGCCAAGGAAUCCUCAACGUAGAAACUUUUAAAGGUUAAUUUUCUUGAGUGCCACGUUUGGCUGCACUUUUGGGAAACGUGACUGUAGAAUGUUGCAAGCAAGAUCGCCCCCUACCGGCCUCAAUGAUCACCACCCUAAGAGACGGUGGGGUAUUUGGUUGGCGGAGUGGCUUGAGGGAUGGAAAUAUUUAAUUACACGAGUUCACUGGCUGGACACUCUUGGACAACGGAGAGGUGAUAAUGUUUAUAUGGUCACUCUAGGAAAUGCAUAUAAGCUCAGAAUUUACCCAGUUGAGGGGGAAAGUGUUCCCAUUUCUGUUGGAACUCUCCUGGAAUCCUCUAAGCCUCUGAAAAAUUUAUAUUGUCUAAAAUGAAUAACAUAAUGAUAUAUACAUAUAUGCCAAAGCCCCAUCACAGAUUAAUUAAACCUGAGCCUCUGGGGUGUGACCAGACACUGGCAUAUUCAGGGGCUCCCAGGUGAUUCCAGGGCAUAGCUCAAGAUGACAACCACGUCCACAGGGGAUCCGCUGCUAAUUUCUCAAGAGCAGCACUUCGCUCACACCUGCUCCAGAUCUCAACCAGGUGACCCCUCCUUAGGAAGGUGUCUUCCUGCCUUGUUCUCUCAGUGCUCCGGGACACACAGAACACAGUUCUCCCAAAGCAUUUCCUGCCAGACUGCAGGCCUUCUGGGGGUGGGUACCAGGCCUUCCUUGGAUCUGUUUCCCCAGAGCCCAGAGCAGGGUCUAGCAUAGAGGGGAGCCUAUGAAAUGCAGAGUGAAUGAGUGAGGGCAUGAACAAAGGGGUGUGGUGGUGUGGGUGGUGUAGUUGGUGUGGGCGGGUGGGUGAAUGAAUGAAUGGAACCACGGUCUUUCUGUCCCUUGUGUUUCUUCCAUCUGCUCAGCUUCCCUAGAGCUUUCAGCACAGAACCUCUGAAGGCUCCUUUGGGAGCAGAAUUUUCUUUCCUCCUACAGGUUUAUUCAUGCAAAGUUGGAAGGCAGUUGGAAGGCAUUUCAAACUUCUUAAUUGUCAAGUUUCUCACACCAUUACAUCCAGCCUCCUCUGCACAUUGGAAAUCACCUGGGCAGCUUUAAAGCCCUGCUGGAGCCCAGUCGCUGCCCCCAGCAUCUGAUUCAAUUGGUUUGUGGGGAGACCAGGGCAUGCAGGUUUAUAGAAGCCCCCAGAUGAUUUUAAUAGGCAACCAAUAUCACAAACCACUUAAUCUUUGUCUUUUGUCUUUUUAGGGCCUCACUCUCAGCAUAUGGAGGUUCCCAGGCUAGGGGUUGAAUCAGAGCUGUAGCUGCCAGCCUACACCACAGCCACAGCCAUGCCAGAUCUGAGCCCCGUCUGCAACCUACAGUACAGCUCAUAGCAACAACGCUGGAUCCUUAACCCACUGAACGAGGCCAGGGAUCGAACUUGUGUCCUAGUCAGAUUCCUUUCUGCUGAGCUACGAUGGGAACUCUGGUUGCAGUAUUCUUAACUCAUUUUAUUUCUCAAAGUCCCAAACCAUUUAGAAACUGAACCUAAGUUUCCCUUUGGGGACGGGAAAAGGAUGUUGAGCACAAACAUGGUAGAAACUUUGAACUUGCUCUAGAAUUUGAUGCCCUUUCUU